rnacentral:miRNA from 1 species
UUUGUGACCUGGUCCACUAA